CAGUCGCCGCGGGAAUACGAAGGGGGCUAGCGUUACUCGGAAUUACUGGGCGUAAAGGGCGCGUAGGCGGCGCUCCAAGUUAGGCGUGAAAGUCCUGGGCUCAACCUGGGAACUGCGCUUAAGACUGGAGUGCUUGAGGAUGGAAGAGGGUUGUGGAAUUCCCAGUGUAGAGGUGAAAUUCGUAGAUAUUGGGAAGAACACCGGUGGCGAAGGCGGCAACCUGGUCCAUUACUGACGCUGAGGCGCGACAGCGUGGGGAGCAAACAGGAUUAGAUACCCCUGUAGUCCCUGUCUCUUAUAC
rnacentral:rRNA from 1 species